rnacentral:lncRNA from 1 species
UUGAGGGUAGCAGGGAAUCUGAAACUCUGCGGCCACAGGUACCAUUUCAGACUUCAGUUAUAUUUUUUCUUUGACAACUUUCAAUUGACUAAUUUGGCCAUAAAUUUAGGAUCUCCAUUUUCAUCUUAAGAAAGAUGGUGCAGAACCCUGAUAAAAUAUCAGUAUGCACGUCUCUAAUCAUAUCCCACAUUCAACAGCUAUCAUUAUUUUACACGUCCUUGGCUGCAGCAUGUGCAGGUUGCUGCAAGGAUUGAUUUAUUGGAUGGAGUGUUAGUUGAUCAAUAGACUUCUGUACAAUGUUACGUUUAAGCAUGUCUUACGUAAUUCCUUGCUUCGAAAGAGAAAAUGUCAAAGAAUUUCCUAUUUGUGGUGUUAGAAAUCAUUAACUCCACACAAAU